GACGAACGCUGGCGGCGUGCUUAACACAUGCAAGUCGAACGGUGAAGCGCCUUCCUUUUUGGUGGGUGUGGAGGAGUUGCGAACGGGGGAGUAACACGUGAGUAACCUGCCCCCUUCUGCUGGAUAACCGCAUGAAAGUGUGGCUAAUACGGGAUACUCUGGGUCGGUCGCAUGAUGGGUCUGUGGAAGAUAUUGUUUCGGUGUGGGAUGGGCUCGCGGCCUAUCGUCUUGUGGGUGGGGUGAUGGCCUACCAAGGCGGUGACGAGUUGCCGGCCUGAGAGGAUGGACGGCACCACUGGUGCUGCGCCACCGACAAGCCUCCUACGGGCGGCAGCAGUGAGUAAUAUUGCACAAUCGGAGCACGGCUGAUGCAGCGACGCCGCGUGAGGGAUGGAGGCCUUCGGGUUGUGAACCUCUUUCGCCAGUGAAGAAGGCCUGCCUAGUUUGUGGGUGGGUUGACGGUAGCUGGAUAAGAAGCGCCGGCUAACUACGUG
rnacentral:rRNA from 1 species